GGAGUUGUGGCUCAGUGGUAGAGCACUUGCCUCACACUCGUGAGUCCCUGAGUUAGAUCCUCAGCACCA
rfam:Ictidomys tridecemlineatus contig072426, whole genome shotgun sequence.